AGGUGAUGUGGCUGUUUGUGAUUCCUUGUCACGUCUUUAGCCGAUCGUCCCCACCCUCUGGGAAUUGUACAGGCCUCUCGGAGAUAACGUUCGAGGAGUUACUCCUUGCUGUGCGUCAAUCCAAGCAAGUCAGUGCUCUGAGCAGUAGGAUCGCGGAUUUG